UGCACAUGGGUUAGUCGAUCC
rnacentral:snRNA from 1 species